CCUACGGGAGGCAGCAGUGGGGAAUAUUGCUCAAUGGGGGAAACUCUGAUGCAGCGAUGCCGCGUGCGUGAAGAAGUAUUUCGGUAUUUAAAGCUCUAUUAGCAGGGAAGAAAAUGACGGUACCUGAUUAAGACGCCCCGGCUAACUACGUGCCAGCCGCCGCGGUUAUACGGAGGGGGCAAGCGUUAUCCGGAUGUACUGGGUGUAAAGGGGGCGUAGACGGCAGCACAAGUCUGGAGUGAAAUGCCGGGGCUAAACCCCGGAACUGCUUUGGAAACUGUGCAGCUAGAGUGCAGGAGAGGUAGGUGGAAUGUCUGGUGUAGCGGUGAAAUGCGUAGAUAUUAGAAAGAACACCAAUGGCGAAGGCAGCUUAC
rnacentral:rRNA from 1 species